rnacentral:rRNA from 1 species
AACGAGCGCUGGCGGCGUGGAUAAGACAUGCAAGUCGAACGGGAUUUUUUUCUGUAGCAAUACAGAGAAAAGUCUAGUGGCGAACGGGUGCGUAACACGUGAGCAACCUGCCGUGAAGUGGGGGAUAGCUCGCCGAAAGGCGAAUUAAUACCGCAUGUGGCCAAGGAAGACAUCUUCCUGACGCCAAAGCCGGGGCAACCUGGCGCUUCUCGAGGGGCUCGCGGCCUAUCAGCUUGUUGGUGAGGUAACGGCUCACCAAGGCUAUGACGGGUAGCUGGUCUGAGAGGACGACCAGCCACACUGGAACUGAGACACGGUCCAGACACCUACGGGUGGCAGCAGUCGAGAAUUUUUCACAAUGGGGGAAACCCUGAUGGAGCGACGCCGCGUGGAGGAUGAAGGUUUUCGGAUUGUAAACUCCUGUCAUUAGAGAACAAGGCACACGGUUUAACUGGCCGUGUGUUGAUAGUACCUGAAGAGGAAGAGACGGCUAACUCUGUGCCAGCAGCCGCAGUAA